ACGAACGCUGGCGGCAUGCCUAACCCCUGCAAGUCGAACGCGACCUUCGGGUCUAGUGGCGCACGGGUGCGUAACGCGUGGGAACCUGCCCUUAGGUUCGGAAUAACUCCCCGAAAGGGGUGCUAAUACCGGAUAAUGUCUUCGGACCAAAGAUUUAUCGCCUUUGGAUGGGCCCGCGUUGGAUUAGCUAGUUGGUAGGGUAAAAGCCUACCAAGGCGACGAUCCAUAGCUGGUCUGAGAGGAUGAUCAGCCACACUGGGACUGAGACACGGCCCAGACUCCUACGGGAGGCAGCAGUGGGGAAUAUUGGACAAUGGGCGAAAGCCUGAUCCAGCAAUGCCGCGUGAGUGAUGAAGGCCUUAGGGUUGUAAAGCUCUUUUACCCGGGAUGAUAAUGACAGUACCGGGAGAAUAAGCUCCGGCUAACUCCGUG
rnacentral:rRNA from 1 species